UCAAUUUAAAUUCUGCAGGGGAUCUUUCUCACCUGCCGAUAAUCAGUCACUUGGACUGUUUGUCAGUACCUGUCAUUUCCUCCUCUUCUGCUUCUGGCAGGCAUUGUUUUAUGGAGUCAUUGAAUCCUGGUUGCUAUGGAGAUUUCCCCACCAUUCCAAAAGCAAACAAGCUGCCAUGUAUUUAAAGCAAUAAAACAUCAUCACAUUUAACUGGAACAAAUAAGUCUGGUAUAAAAUUUUGGUACAAAUUUACCAAGCUGCCUAGUGUCUAUCUUUUAGAACUUUAAGCACACUGCUGUGCUGGUAUUCUUUUAUUUAUUUAGGAAUGCUUCUAGCAUAGUGCCAUAUCUUUGAAAUGUUGGGAGGAAUCUGAGAAGUCUAAGAAAAAGGUGCAUCAAUGAAGAUACAGCAUCAAGGGGAUGUUGGUUUUAUUUUUUGAAGUUGAUGGAAUCAUGCAAGCUGAGUUUUACCAAGGAACAGAAGGAGAGAAAAGUAACUAAGACAGGAAGCAAAAGGAAAGGACCUUGUGGAUAUUCAGAGAAGCACUUUUCUGGGAGAGAGAACAGGGAUAGAAAAGGGAACAGUUUUUUUCCACAAGAAGAACCUCAAGGAAUUUUCAGAUGGAGUUAUUUCAAAAUACUCUGUGCAGAGGAAAAAAAAUAUUCAGGAGUCAAUUUCAAUACCACUCUUUUAAGUUGAAACUGAAUUUUGCGCAUAGCAGGGAUUAACAUAUACAUUUUCUGUGCUCACUUCUAUGGAAGUAAAGAAAGAAGAAAAUCAUGGAGGCUAUGGAAUUCUGAGGAGAUAUUUCUUCUAAAAAAGUAGAUUCAAUUCUGUUUUUUCCUGGUAUGUGCUACUUGUAUUAAAAUUAUCUGUCAAAUAUUUUUCUUUGGAGGCAAUUUGUUUUUUUCUCCUCUGUAUAGCCUUCAAAAU
rnacentral:lncRNA from 1 species